rnacentral:rRNA from 1 species
UAGGGGGGGGCCCUUACACAUGGCAAGUCGAGCGGUAGCACAGAGAGCUUGCUCUCGGGUGACGAGCGGCGGACGGGUGAGUAAUGUCUGGGAAACUGCCUGAUGGAGGGGGAUAACUACUGGAAACGGUAGCUAAUACCGCAUAACGUCGCAAGACCAAAGUGGGGGACCUUCGGGCCUCAUGCCAUCAGAUGUGCCCAGAUGGGAUUAGCUAGUAGGUGGGGUAACGGCUCACCUAGGCGACGAUCCCUAGCUGGUCUGAGAGGAUGACCAGCCACACUGGAACUGAGACACGGUCCAGACUCCUACGGGAGGCAGCAGUGGGGAAUAUUGCACAAUGGGCGCAAGCCUGAUGCAGCCAUGCCGCGUGUGUGAAGAAGGCCUUCGGGUUGUAAAGCACUUUCAGCGGGGAGGAAGGCGAUAAGGUUAAUAACCUUGGCGAUUGACGUUACCCGCAGAAGAAGCACCGGCUAACUCCGUGCCAGCAGCCGCGGUAAUACGGAGGGUGCAAGCGUUAAUCGGAAUUACUGGGCGUAAAGCGCACGCAGGCGGUCUGUCAAGUCGGAUGUGAAAUCCCCGGGCUCAACCUGGGAACUGCAUUCGAAACUGGCAGGCUAGAGUCUUGUAGAGGGGGGUAGAAUUCCAGGUGUAGCGGUGAAAUGCGUAGAGAUCUGGAGGAAUACCGGUGGCGAAGGCGGCCCCCUGGACAAAGACUGACGCUAGGUGCGAAAGCGUGGGGAGCAAACAGGGAUUAGAUACCCUGGUAGUCCACGCCGUAACGAUGUCGAUUUGGAGGGUUUGUGCCCUUGAGGCGUGGCUUCCGGAGCUAACGCGUUAAUCGACGGCCUGGGGAGUACGGCCGCAAGGUUAAAACUCAAAUGAAUUGACGGGGGGGCCGCACAAGCGGUGGGAGCAUGUGGUUUAAUUUCGAUGCACGCGGAAGAACCUUUACCUGGUCUUGACAUCCACAGGAACUUUCCCAGAGAUGGAUUGGUUGUCUUUCCGGAACUGUUGAGAAAGGGUGCUGCAUGG